GAUAAACGCUAGCGGCAGGCUUAACACAUGCAAGUCGAGGGGCAGCAUAGAUUGUAGCAAUACAAUUGGUGGCGACCGGCGCACGGGUGCGUAACGCGUAUGCAACCUACCCGUCACAGGGGGAUAAUCCGGAGAAAUCUGGUCUAAUACCCCAUAACAUAUGGAUCGGCAUCGGUUCAUGUUGAAAUUUUCGGAGGUGACGGAUGGGCAUGCGUAGCAUUAGCUUGUUGGUGAGGGAACGGCUGACCAAGGCGACGAUGCUUAGGGGGACUGAGAGGUUUUCCCCCCAAACUGGUACUGAGACACGGACCAGACUCCUACGGGAGGCAGCAGUGAGGAAUAGUGGUCAAUGGGCGCAAGCCUGAACCAGCCAUGCCGCGUGCAGGAUGACGGCUCUAUGAGUUGUAAACUGCUUUUGUACGAGGGUAAAGUGGGUUACGUGUAACCUUUUGAAAGUAUCGUACGAAUAAGGAUCGGCUAACUCCGUGCCAGCCGCCGCGGUAA
rnacentral:rRNA from 1 species